UACGAAGGGGGCUAGCGUUGCUCGGAAUUACUGGGCGUAAAGGGCGCGUAGGCGGCCUCUGCAAGUCGACUGUGAAAUCUCCGGGCUUAACCCGGAAAGGUCAGCCGAUACUGCAGGGCUAGAGUGCAGAAGGGGCAACUGGAAUUCUCGGUGUAGCGGUGAAAUGCGUAGAUAUCGAGAGGAACACCUGCGGCGAAGGCGGGUUGCUGGGCUGACACUGACGCUGACAGCGCGAAAGCUAGGGGAGCGAACGGG
rnacentral:rRNA from 1 species